CAGGCUGCAACUCGCCUGCACGAAGUCGGAAUUGCUAGUAAUCGUAGGUCAGCAUACUGCCGUGAAUACGUUCCCGGGCCUUGUACACACCGCCCGUCACACCAUGAGAGUUGGGAAUACCCGAAGCCUGUGAGCUAACUUUUAGAGGCAGCAGUCGAAGGUAGAAUCAAUGAUUGGGGUGAAGUCGUAACAAGGUAUC
rnacentral:rRNA from 1 species